rnacentral:lncRNA from 1 species
GGUUCUGGUCGUAAAAUUCUGAUUUCAAAGCAUACCUCACUUCAGAAAAUAAGAAUUGUGGGAAAUACAUUGAAGGUCAUAUCCAGUUUUAACAUGCAUGUACUUGACAUAGCUGUUAAUCAUAACAAUGACAUCCUACUGGCCAUUAAUGAAUCAAGACUAAUGCAGAUUUAUGCUGGAUCUACAUACGAGAUAGAUUCCACAUACUUUGUAGAAUCAGUACUUCUACACACGGUUCAUGUGACCAAAGAUGGUAGAGUGAUUGUUGGUGGAUUUAAUGGGGUGGUUGUUGUAAUGGACACUGAUGGUAACCAUCUGGCAAGAUAUGAAAAGGAUCAAACCAAUGAACAAAUAUUCUCUAAAAGUAUUACAUCUAUAACCAGCACCGCCAACGGGAAUAUUUUCGUGGCAAGUCCAUAUGACAAUAAACUGGUAGUGUUUGGGAACACAGAUAUCAUCAGUAUAUACAAUGGACAUUCUGAAGUUAACUUUUGGGGAGGAAGUAGAUUCUCUCCAUCCUCAGUAGUAACCACACCUAUGGACAAUGUUAUUGUGGCUGACCUCUACAGUAAUACACUCCAUAUUUUGAAUAACUCCGGUCACCUUUUGACUACAUACAAUAGCAAGGACAUGGGAAUAUCAAUGCCUCAUCAUCUAGCUAUCACAACAG